CACGUAGGGGGCAAGCGUUGUCCGGAUUUAUUGGGCGUAAAGAGCUCGUAGGUGGCUGAGUAAGUCGGAUGUCAAAUCCCCAGGCUCAACCUGGGACACCACCCGAUACUGCUCUGGCUAGAGUCCGGUAGGGGAGCGUGGAAUUCCUGGUGUAGCGGUGAAAUGCGCAGAUAUCAGGAGGAACACCAGCGGCGAAGGCGGCGCUCUGGGCCGGUACUGACGCUGAGACGCGAAAGCGUGGGGAGCGAACAGG
rnacentral:rRNA from 1 species